AUUGAACGCUGGCGGCAUGCUUUACACAUGCAAGUCGAACGGUAACAGGGUGCUUGCACCGCUGACGAGUGGCGAACGGGUGAGUAAUGCGUCGGAACGUGCCGAGUAGUGGGGGAUAACGCAGCGAAAGUUGUGCUAAUACCGCAUACGUACUGAGGUAGAAAGUGGGGGACCUUCGGGCCUCACGCUAUUCGAGCGGCCGAAGUCUGAUUAGCUAGUAGGUGAGGUAAAGGCUCACCUAGGCGACGAUCAGUAGCGGGUCUGAGAGGAUGCUCCGCCACACUGGGACUGAGACACGGCCCAGACUCCUACGGGAGGCAGCAGUGGGGAAUUUGGACAAUGGGCGAAAGCCUGAUCCAGCCAUGCCGCGUGUCUGAAGAAGGCCUUCGGGUUGUAAAGGACUUUUGUCAGGGAGGAAAUCCCUAGUGCUAAUAACACUGGGGGAUGACAGUACCUGAAGAAUAAGCACCGGCUAACUACGUGCCAGCCGCCGCCGUAA
rnacentral:rRNA from 1 species